rnacentral:rRNA from 1 species
UGGCAGGUACAGAGGGAUGCUACCGGGCGACCGGAUGCGGAUCUCGAAAGCCUGUCCCAGUUCGGACUGGAGUCUGCAACCCGACUCCACGAAGUUGGAUUCGCUAGUAAUCGCGCAUCAGCCAUGGCGCGGUGAAUACGUUCCCGGGCCUUGUGCACACCGCCCGUCAAGCCAUGGGAGCCGGGGGCGCCUGAAGUCCGGGACCGCGAGGACCGGCCUAGGGCGAAACUGGUAACUGGGGCUAAGUCGUAACAAGGUAGC